rnacentral:misc_RNA from 1 species
GAUGAAGAACGCAGCGAAAUGCGAUAAGUAAUGUGAAUUGCAGAAUUCGGUGAAUCAUCGAAUCUUUGAACGCACAUUGCGCCCGCCAGUAUUCUGGCGGGCAUGCCUGUUCGAGCGUCAUUUCAACCAUCAAGCCCCAGGCUUGUGUUGGGGACCUGCGGCUGCCGCAGGCCCUGAAAACCAGUGGCGGGCUCGCUGUCACACCGGGCGUAGUAGAUUUUAUCUCGCUCAGGGCGUGCUGCGGGUUCCGGCCGUUAAAAAGCCUUUUUUACCCAAGGUUGACCUCGGAUCAGGUAGGAAGACCCGAUGAACUUAAGCAUAUCAAUAAGCGGAGGA